GCCUGGGUGGCUCAGUCGGUUGAGCCUCUGACUUCAGCUCAGGUCAUGAUCUCACAGUCUGUGAGUUCGAGCCCCGCAUUGGGCU
rnacentral:tRNA from 1 species